ACCUGAGCGAAAGUCAGAUGCUCAACUGACUGAGCCACCCAGGUGCCCCAACUGUGAACACCUACCAAGUACAGCUACCAAGAGCACCUCCUCCAGAGAAGCGGAGGUAAAGAUAACUGAGAAACUAUCCCUGCCCUUGAGGAACCCACACGUCCGUGAGUCAUAGAACCUAACGAGUAAUUAGGAUGGAAACGCUCAAAGCAGUUGGAUUCGAGAGUCUGAGGCCCCGGGGAACAGUGCGGUUUGGGCCACUCUGCCAGUAGUUAAAAUCAUGAGUUCACCCUAAGAGAAUGUAAGAAAUGAAAAGCACUCAGGAGACACCGAUGUUUAAGGGGUGAAGGUCAGAGAAAGGAGGCCAAGAAGGGAUAAUAAUAAUCAAGGAAGUGAAAAAGAGCUGGAAGAAGGAGCCGCUGACCUCAGAGCUGCUAGAGCCUUCGCAGGACGCUCCGGAUAAUCAAGCAGGGAUCAUGCCUUCCGAUUCACUCUGUGUCAGCUACCGUUCGAAGCACGUUUCCUAUGUUCUCACGUUAAGCCUCACACCAACCCGGGGAGUUAGGCACUGGUAUGUCCCUAUCUUGCAGAGGACGCCGAUUCACUCACCCAAGUGCGCACGCCUCCGGAGAGAGAUCAGAACCCAGGCAAUUUGAACUAGCCCUCUUAACCGCUGUGCUGUUAUCCAUACUACUAUGCUACGCUACGUCUGUACUUUUUUUUUUCCCUAUUUUACUGAGUACCUGCUAAGGGCCAGGAAUUCUAGGCCCUGGACAUAGAGUAGUGAGGUAGACAAGGUCCCUCUCUUCACAGAGCUCAUAUCCUUGUGCGGGACAAGGACACGGAACAGGGCAACAGACGCGUAAUAGACAAGAAGUGCUGGGAAGAAAAAUGAAGUCGGGUAAGGUUCCACAAGUGAUAGGGAGUUGCCUCUCUGAGGAGGUGACACUGAGUAGCGACCUGAAGGAAAUGAGAGAGGGAGCCAAGAGGAUAUCUGAGGGAAGAACAUUCCAGGCAGAGGCAACAGCAAGUGCAGGAGCCUUAAGGUGUGAGUGUGCCCGGUGUGUUCCAGGAACUGCGAGGAGGUCAGUGCAGCGAGAGCACGAUGAACUAGGGGAGAGAGAGGCAGGUGAUAAGGUCGGAAAGAUCUGGAAAGGUUUCCAGGUCGUAUUGUUAAGUGAAAAAAAUGAGGGGAUCAGGCAUACUAGUUUGUAUGUUAUAAUCACAUUGAGUAUCUCUCUA